GUAGGGUAAAUCUACCUUUGAUGGGGAAUAACAGUCGGAAACGACUGCUAAUACCGCAUAAUGCAGCGGCAUCUAUGAUGACAGUUGUUAAAGGAGCAAUCCGCUUAAAGAGGAGCCUGCGGCAGAUUAGCUAGUUGGUAAGGUAAUGGCUUACCAAGGCUACGAUCUGUAACCGACCUGAGAGGGUGGUCGGUCACACUGACACUGAAUAACGGGUCAG
rnacentral:rRNA from 1 species